UAGAAAUGGAGACACGGCAGGUUCAGUCAAU
rnacentral:piRNA from 1 species